rnacentral:rRNA from 1 species
UUGGCCUCWAAUCAGGUAGGACU